CCUACGGUGUGCAGCAGUGAGGAAUAUUUGUCAAUGGGCGCGAGCCUGAACCAGCCAAGUAGCGUGAAGGAUGACUGCCCUACGGGUUGUAAACUUCUUUUAUAAAGGAAUAAAGUGAGGCACGUGUGCCUUUUUGGAUGUACUUUAUGAAUAAGGAUCGGCUAACUCCGUGCCAGCAGCCGCGGUAAUACGGCGGAUCCGAGCGUUAUACGGAGUUAUUGGGUUUAAAGUGAGCGUAGAUGGGUUGUUAAGUCAUUUGUGAAAGUUUGCGGCUCAACCGUAAAAUUGCAAUGGAUACUGGCAGUAUUGAGUACAGUUUAGGUAGGCGGAAUUCGUGGUGUAGCGG
rnacentral:rRNA from 1 species